UACGGAGGUCUCAAGCGUUGUUCGGAAUUACUGGGCGUAAAGGGCUCGUAGGCGGCCAACUAAGUCGGACGUGAAAUCCCCAGGCUCAACCUGGGAACUGCGUCCGAUACUGGAUGGCUUGAAUCCGGGAGAGGGAUGCAGAAUUCCAGGUGUAGCGGUGAAAUGCGCAGAUAUCAGGAGGAACACCGGUGGCGAAGGCGGAUCUCUGGGCCUUGCCUGACGCUGAGGCGCGAAAGCUAGGGGAGCGAACAGG
rnacentral:rRNA from 1 species